rnacentral:rRNA from 1 species
CUCCACCGCUUGUGUGAGCCCCCGACAAUUUCUUUGAGUUUUAGCCUUGCGACCGUACUUCCCAGGCGGCCGACUUAGCACUUUUGCUUCGACCGUGAUAGCGUCAGAGCCACCACGAUCUAGUCGACAUCGUUUACAGCUAGGACUACCGGGGUAUCUAAUCCCGUUCGCUCCCCUAGCUUUCGUGUCUCAGCGUCGGCACACUCCCAGUUACCUGUUUUCACCAUUGGCGUUCCAAACGAUAUCUACGCAUUUCACCGCUCCACCGUUUGUUCCGGUAACCCCUAAGUGGCCCAAGAUAAGCAGUAUACCAAGCAGUUCCACGGUUGAGCCGUGGGAUUUCACAAGGUACUUACAAAUCCGCCUACACACGCUUUAAGCCCAGUGAUUCCGCCUAACGCUCGGGACCUCUGUCUUACCGCGGCUGCUGGCACGGAGUUAGCCGUCCCUUCCUCUGGGGUAGAUCAGAACUUUCUUUCCCCUGACAGUAGUUUACACCCCGAAG